GAUGAAGAACGCAGUGAAAUGUGAUAAGUAAUGUGAAUUGCAGAAUCUCGUGAAUCAUCGAAUCUUUGAACGCACAUUGCGCCCAAUGGUAUUCCAUUGGGCAUACCUGUUUGAGUAUCAGAAUCCUUUCAAUUAUCAAACUUUUAUAUAUAGAGAUGUAUGUAAAGAUGUUUGGAAUAAAGUUGAGAAAAGUAGUAUUGUUUAUAAUAUUACUUUCUUAAAAACCAGAAAUAUUAUGUUUUGAUUUUUCUUCACCUCAUUUUGUAUGAAAUUUUAACAAAUGAGAAUGAGUAAAAAUAACAAUACUUUGGAUGACCUCAAAUCAGGUAGGGAUACCCGCUGAACUUAAGCAUAUCAAUAAGCGGAGGA
rnacentral:misc_RNA from 1 species